rnacentral:lncRNA from 1 species
UUUUUUUGUUUUUUUGCUUUGUUUGUUUCUUUUUAAAGACGAAAAGUCCACAUUGUCUUCUUAGUUAUCAAAUUUGUCAUGGAGACAUGGAACCAUAAACAAGAAAUCUCCCUUAACACAGGAACUUUGGAAGAGAGUCCCUUUUUCUCUCCUGGCUGCUGUCCUUUUUUCUGCUUCACCCCGUCUUCCCCAGGACGUGAUGAAUAAUUCACAGUUACUGUGUCACCACUAAGCCGGACUUCUCCUCCGCCACAGCGCUGCCNNNNNNNNNNNNNNNNNNNNNNNNNNNNNNNNNNNNNNNNNNNNNNNNNNNNNNNNNNNNNNNNNNNNNNNNNNNNNNNNNNNNNNUGCCCCCCCCCCCCCCCCACAGCGUCCUCCGUCCUCCUGGGGAGCUCUCCCUGCUCCUCCCAGCUCGGCAACGUGUUGGCAGGUCGCUGGCCGGAAGCCUGUAUUCCUCACCCAGGUCCUGUCACUGCAACAACCGUCUUUGCUCUUGUGGUGAAGAGUAACUGAAUUAAAUUGGGCAGCACUGGAUCCUGACCCUGCUAAGUGCCUGCUCCAAUUGAGGUCCCGGGCAGGAAUGGGCAGGGCAGCGGUGACAGACGUCCUUGUCCAGCGGGCCUGACAGUUGUGUUCUUGUUUCCAUGUGGAAACUUGUGGAGGUUUGGUGGGCCUGGGAAGGAACUAGGAGAGUCCCUGGGCCUGUGAGGAAUAUAGCUGAGCCCACAGGAGCCCAGUCUGCCUGAUGUUACAACAUAUGGACGUGCAGAUGUUGAAACAGGGACGGAUGGCAGCAAGGCAAUGGGUGACAUCUCCAAAAAUGGGCUCAAAAAAUACUGUGCGCUCGUGUGUGUGUGUGUGUGUGUGUGUGUGUGUGUGUGGCAGCCCCAGCAGUCUUUACCAAGAGUACACUACAUGGGUAUGCCGCUUAUCUAAAAGCAAAUAAGAAACCCAUGGCUGCUUCUAACUAGCUCUAUUUUCCCUUCUUUCUGCAGAUAAAAUUAAACAUAGACAUCGCCAUCCAAAUUUACCUGCAGGGUCAUCAGGAAGGGGAGAGGAGAGGAAGUCCGGGGCAGGGUAUGCCUUUAAGAGCCCUUUUUUUCUGUCAUCCUUCUUGUCCUCACCGUCCAUUUGGUCCUGGCAAUACUGUUCACCACUCAGACGUGAGACUGAGUAACCCGUGCAAAUGCUUGACUCCAGCUCUUUCAACUUCCCUUUCAGAAUCCCUUGCAAACAUGGAAACAUGCUCACACAUGAAGGGCGCCUGGAAAUCCAGCCUUGCUUGUAAAACACUGGCAAGGUUGAAUCCCAUCCUCAGAGGCAUGGCCUCUGUCACUUCAUUGUGGUGAUCGCCCCUACUGGCUGGCCCUUAGUGAACCAAAUAAGUGAGUUGGAGGAGUCUUUCAUUUUGACGGUUCAGUGUGUGUGUGAGGAUAAGGAUCUGUGGGCUGAGCGAGAAAGGAAGUCCCAAACACCCCAUCAUUUUUAAAUGAUGGGCUAUGACACAUUAAUGACUCCCAGGAUGGGGAAAGUUUCCACUGGGGCAUGUGAUUCAGCCCAGUAAGAGAGCCUAGAGCCUUCGAUAGGUGCCAACUUGGUUCACAACCCACUAAUCCUCUGCAGCCACCCACUGCCUCCCCAGUGAGCGUCCUCCCCAGAGACUGGGUGAGUCACCAUGACCAUCUUGCUGCACCAUCUGGAACCAGCUUAAAGUCUAUGCCCAAAACCUCCAUGCACAGGAAGACCAGAAGAGCAUUCCAAAGGCACCCUAGCCUAAAUACCUUCCCCGCGUGGCUGCAUAGACUUUGUACUUGAGUCCUUAAAAAGGCUUGUCCCCAAUCUGACAGACAUGGCUAACUUGGUCUUAAUUAUGGGCUGUUAAAGUCAAUGGAUGAUAGGUUUGAUGUAGCGCCAAGUCCAGUAGGUAUGUCACAUGGCCUGAGAAGUCUCACGACGCAAAGGAGCACUCGGGAAUCAGAGCCCCAGAGCCCACCGGGAAACUCAGUGCCAGCUUGGCGCCUCGGGUCUCCCUCCCUGCUUCCCCCCCGCAUGUCCCUUCUUCACAAUGACGUUCCACAGGUGCUGUCGGUGGCCUUUUCUCACUCGACCCAUGCUCCCUGCAGGAGCUGCUCAGCUGGGGAGGACUUCAGGUCCCAUAGGCACAUGUGGAAAGACCCAGAUCCAGAUGUUUAGGUCAACCCCCUCUCCUCAGUUUCAGUCCUUUCAAUAAAUAUGUGCGGAGAACGUGCUAUGUGGGAGGCCCUGGGCUGGGUGCUGGGCACAGGGAAAUGAAUAAAACAUGGUGUCAGCUGUCAAGGCUCACACAUAAUUUUAUAUCCAGAUACUACUGGGAUUUUCCUCGCAGACUUACAGUGAUAAUAACAGAGGUAAUUUUUAAAAAUCUGGGAGCUCCUGUUGUAACUCAGUGGUAACAAACCCGACUAGUAUCCAGGAGGACACCAGUUCCAGCCCUGGCCUCACUCGGUGGGUUAAGGAUCUGGCGUUGCUGUGGCUGUGGUACAGGCCAGCAGCUGUAGCUCCGAUUGGACCCCUAACCUGGGAACCUCCACAUGCCAUUCCUGUGGCCCUUAAAAGACAAACAAACAAAAAAAACCCAAAAACAACUGCUACAAUUUAUUAGGUUUGAAACCAAGCUUAUUAGAAUCAUGACUAAGAUAAGCACAAACAAGGUUCCGAUUUUGCAGUUUUUGAGUAAAACACACAAGCUUUAGAACGUCUUUUCCUUCUCCUGGACAGCACUGAGGGCAUCUUAGCUUUUGGGUCUGUCUUCCGGAUGGACGAGGCUGGCUUCUGGAUACGUGAGGGGCCCUGGCAGUCACCGGUCUUACCUGACUCACCGCUUGGUGGCAGCACACCACACUUCCUUUCUCCCUGCUCUUUCCUGUGAGUGUGUGAGGAGGAGGCCCUCUACUUAGGGGCCGUCCCCACACCUCAGUCUCCUGCAUUGCUUUUGAUGCAAAUUAUCACUUAAACUUUUAGGCAACAGCAAAUAUUGUUCGUGUGUGCUUUUAUGAACUCCUUUCGGAUGACGUGGAGCUUUGCCAAGGCCAAACCCAGCACCUUUCAUCAGACCAUUUUCACUGGGAGGUUUUUCUUACAUAAAAUGAUCCACGAUUAAAAAUACGGAGAAAUUUUCUCAGUGUGGCACAGCUUUUUAAAAGACAGGGACAAAACCUUUAUCAACAGAGCAAUUUAUCAUGCCAGUAAUUUUCUACCUCUGUCCUGCUAUUAUCAAGGAUGGCCGUUUUAAAAGGAACUCUUAGCUCUGAUCUCUCGGCUCAGCCUGCAGCCUCACAGUAAUGGCCCGACUCUAACUUCAGCCCACUGCCAUGGGAGUAAUUAUGCCACACGCACAGAAGGGCGAUUUGCCACAGAAUCAAAGAAGCAAUUGGGUUCAAAGUGAAAAACAAUCUCUAGAGAUGGGAGGGAAAGACACUUGAUGAAGCGGGGAGGACAGAGAGAGCCCUGCUUUAUGUGGAAGAGGGCUGUGGACUAAAGCUCUGAAAUAAAAUCGCAUCAGAGUAAGACCGCGUAUGAAGUGAAUGAAGUCAUUUUCCUAAUGCCUGCUUUCCUUCUCCCAUGUAUUUUUUAAAAUCACAGCACAAGGAAAGAUGAAACAUUUUCCUAAUGCUCCCUUCCCUUCUCAUAUAUAUAUUUUAAAUCACAGUACAAGGUUAGACAGUCCCAAAUAAAGGAUUCUUUAUAGCUGCUGCAAUAGUGUCUGCACCGAUCAUUCCAAGUGAAUGCUUUUAUUUCCUUCAUAAAACCCUGGAAAAGAAUCACAGACCCCGUGGCUGUAGAUGUGAUCUGGGAGCUGAGCUUGUCCCAUUUCUCUGCCUUCAGGAGGGUUCCAAUCCAAACUUUCCCAAGAGGAUCAAAAUCAACACUGGAAAGUUCAUGAAAUGAUUUUUUUGAGGCCAAGGACAAAGAUCCCUCAGUGUAAAGGGUCAAAUAUUUUGUCCAGAAAGAAACAUGAGUCUGGAAUCAGGUGACCCAGGAGGAAGGCUGAAGUUCGGGCUUUGCCCAUCCUGUCACUGGGACAAUACAUAUGAGGUCUCUGUGCCCAGGUUGCUUCAAAAUGAAGAUGAUAAUGACAUCACUGCUCCAAUGACCCAGUGAGAUGAUGGAUGUGAAAGUGCUUAGCAAACUGCGCUGUUCGAUGACCACUUGCUAGUGUUGAGCUCACUCGGUUCAUUUUUCCCUCUGUAAGCUAGUCCUUUACCACCAAAAUGCAGAGGACUGACUGUGGGGGCAGGCAUGCCCUCGCCCUCUCCCCGCCCCCCCAAGCUCAGCAACCAAGACGGAGGUGGAAUAUGAGGACAGAGGAGGAGCCUGGAGCACGUGGCUGCAGCAGCACCCUCCCAGGACGUGCCUCUGUGCACUCUCCCAGCCCAGCCUCCAUCGGGCACAGGGACUGUGACCUGAGUGACUGGAGGCGUGGAUUCAGGCCACUAUCUUACUGUGUGACUCUAGGUUAUUUCAUCACUUAUUUGGGAGGUUACUCAUUCAAAACAAAUAGGAAUAGGUGACCCAGGCUCUCAAGCCAGAAACCUGAGUUCAAAUUGUGGUACCACCAAUGACUUGAGAGGUGACUCUGAGAUAGGUACAAAUACUACUCAGUAAUGUAUCGAGCAUUCGGAUGCACCAGCCCUGCUCCAAAUGCAUCAAUGCGGGUGAUCUUCACAAUAACCUCCUAAGGUUAUUAGCCUAGUUAUUAUUCCCAUAUCCCAGAUCAUGAAACUGAGGCCGAAGUGCUUGAAAAACUUGCCCAAAGUCACUCAGCAAGUGAGUAGCAGUCUCUCACACUCACCACAAACACUCAGUGAUAGUGAAUAUUUGUUUAUUAAGGACCCAUUAUACACCAGCCACUUUACUAGAAGGACCUAAGAUACACUAGCUCCUCAUCGUUAUUCUGUAAAGAUCACAAAUAAAAAUACUUGCUUCGUUUAUUCCACAUAGUUGUUCUCAGGAAUCAAGCCAGAAAGGCAAUAAUGUGUAAAGAUGUUUAAGUGGGCUUUUGAAAGUUGAAAAGCAGCUAUAUCGGGAAGGCAGAGUCAGCAUUAGUUUAUUUUAGCUGAAUCCGACACAAUGUCCUUGUAAUAGGAAAAACUUAAUCCAAGAGAUACAUUAUAAUAAUCUUGUUGAAACAAACAUCAUCUGGUAUUGCUGCAAGCAUCUAGAACUCCCUUUGCCAAAAUAACCGAUUCGAUUUUGUAGUUCUUAGAGUGUCACAUUGACCCCAGCCCUGUUGUCAUAACUCUCUGUUUAUUUUCCUCCAGAGUGGGACGCUUACAGCAACAUGAAAUGUCUGUUUUCUUUUCCAGGCCUUGUUGGCCUUCUACCAGAAUAUCAGAGACUGAUCUUUCUAAACACCCGAUCAACGUAUACUUAUUGGACACGUUCUGUUUGCAAAACGCUAUACCAAGGUCUGUGUUUGUUCAUGCUUUCCUCAUUUUCUGUCUAUGGCUGUGGAUUAACUCUGUUAAAAUUUCUAUAUUACGAAGAUCACAGAACAGAUGCAAGAGGGGUUCAUUGUCCCUUUUAUCUCUCAGAAUGUCUAACAGAAGAAAGUCGAAUCUAAAACACUUUGUGAAAAUAUUAAAGAACACCAUGGUUCCUUUAGCCCAAAAGGCAAAUUUCUGAAGGAGAUAGACUCAUAGUAAAACAAUGUUAAUCUGAUUUUAAUGGGCAUUUCUUGACCACCUCUUUUGACCUAAGCUCCAGAAUACAAAACUUCCUGGCUUGGACAAGUCACUUAACCUUUCUGGACCUCAAUGUCUUUAUCUAUAAAAUGGGGGAAGAAAUAAAACACUGGGGAAGCUCUUAGAAAGCAUUUAUUACCUUGUUUCAUCCUCUCAAAAAUCCUGUGAAGGAGACAUCGUUCCUUAUUGUAUCUGAUGAAACUAGAGCUUGGCUUCCUGAGCAAAGCAGCACACCCAAGUUCGCAUGGUUGGCGAUACACUUUAUUUUCAAAAGCCUGUGCUCUUUUCCCUGGGACCAAAGCCCCAAGACUAGAGGCCUGCCUUUGGAGAAGGCAAAAGCCUAAGCAGGCAGUGCCAGCUUUUAUUAUUAUGCAACUCAAAUCGCCCUCAUCCCAGGGACGUGCACACUCCGGCCUCAGAAUUUCUUGGUAUCUGUGUUUGCAGGUCAGCACGCACAGAACUUUGCAGUUUCCAAACACAAAUGGCCCGUUUCAAAGCUACGCAAAGCCAGACUGACUUUCAAGUCAGAAAGUUCCAUUCCCCCCGAUUUGUGUGCCCUGGGACGCUUUGUGUGCUGGAGGUCAAGUUUUCCCAGUGAUAAGGCAGAUUGGACGAGGAAGGUCUCCAAAGCAGGAAAGCUGAGCGUGAGCGCCCCAGAGGUUAUCCGCGGAGAGACGGCCUUGAGAGGACAGCUUUAUCUAAGAGCACUUGCCGCCGGGAGUCGGGUGGGAGCAAACACAUGCUAUUCCCGCCAAAGGUCACAGGCCUAGUGGGGCAGCUGACAAACCCAGGAUGGCUUCUAACUACAGCACGUGAACUAUACCAGGGACCGGGCAGCAGUGACACUGAGAAAGUUCCUUUGGGAAGUGCAGCGGGUUUUAGGGCCUCAAAAUUCAGGAGAGCGUCUUAUGUUGCUGCCAUUUCUCCCCUCUCCUUUGCCCCUCCCCUCCCCACCUUUUUUCUUCUUCCUCCUCCUCCUUACCCAUCCUCUCAGAGAACCAGAAUCUAUUCACUGAACUCUGUCCAUGGAACACAAAGCCUACUCUGGCCUACAUGUCCAUCAUUUUGUAUUUAGCUAAUAAACCCUCAUGAGCUAGGCCUCAUGCCAAGGCUGCCCAGGUUCCACUCAGGGUGACGUGCAUACGUUUUUCUACCCUUGUUCCACGUACUCAUUCUUGGAAAUGCUGUUUCCCUCAGGUCCUGUUCCAGAUGCUGACAAGGAGGCCUCCUCCCUCAGCUCUAGGUAGUAAAGCCUAUUGGAAUUGCAGCAAGGGAAGUUUCCAGAGAUGUAUCUGGAAUCACUACCUAAAGAAGUUAGAAUAAACGAUCAUAUCUAACAUCCAAUGCAAGAGGCAUUUGUUACUGUCCCUAAAGGAAACCUGUAACAACACUCUCAUUUAUUAUUUUUUUAAACCUUAUAGAAAGAAUGCACGUGUCUGCAGAAUGGACUAGUAAGGGCGGCAAAAUGAUGGUUUUUGCUCUGGUCACCUUCCAGGCUUCCUCCUAGAGGAAGGGGGCCAGUCUGCAGUCAGAUGUACUGGGGGCUGCUCCAAGCCCAGCUCCUCCUGAGCCCAGCCAGGUCUCCAGGGACGCCCUCCUGUCCCAGGAAGUGGCAGCUUUGCCCAGCACCGUCCCCCACUUGCUAUUCCAGCUGUCACAUCGCCCUCCUGCCAGCAGCUCCCCAGAGGUCAAGGUGAAGGGCUGGAGGCCCACGCACUCAGAGGCUGUGUUCCAUGAUGCCCUGGGGGAGAGCACUGUGUAAGCCUGGCAGCCACUAUCUUCUAAACCCUCAGUCUUCCUGGCCCAGGAACGGUGGUUGUGGCAGACUCUCCUGGCAGCCUUCCUCUCUAAUCUCCAUGGUUCACCUCUGAGCACUCUACGCAAAUCUUCCUUUUCUUUGGUAACUCCAGUCAAAUUUGCAGAAUCCAAAUUCAAUGAGGGCUGAAGUCAUUUUCCACAUUGGCUGCCUUAUGUGCUUAGAUUCAGCCCCCAAUUGUUUAAUUCUUGGCUCCAUGUGGACUGCGUGGAUAUAGCCUGAAAUUCCUUACGUCCCCAAAGCAUCCACAGGACCACCCCCCCAAGUGAACUCCAUCCACCCGCAGCAUGCGUAGCUCGGUUACAUCCACAACCAGAGAGGAAGAAGGUUCUACUUAAAGGCCCCAAGAAAGAGAGAGCAUCUCUCCUGACCACAGCAAGGGGUAAAAUACCUGAUACCACUGCCGGAUUCGGUGUGUGAGGCUGGGGUAAUUUCAUAAAAAGGGCUCAGAAUGGAGAGAGAAGAAUCCUGGAUUCUAGCCUCGUUCCUACUGUGUGAAAAGCAAGGGAUCCUUAACCUUUCUGUGUUGCCUCGUGGACCCCCCUGAAGCCCCGCUAGAUGCUUUGGAACCUUAAGCAUAUCCACCCCCAAUCUGAGGAAACAGAUAACAGCCUGCGCCGUCUCUCCUCCUGGUCUUUUCCAGCACCAAACCCUCGGGGCC